rnacentral:rRNA from 1 species
CUACGGGGUGCACCAGUGGGGAAUAUUGGACAAUGGGGGAAACCCUGAUCCAGCAAUGCCGCGUGUGUGAAGAAGGCCUGCGGGUUGUAAAGCACUUUCGGUUGGGAGGACUGCUUCUAGCACUAAUAUUGUUGGAAGUUGACGUUACCUUCAGAAGAAGCACCGGCUAACUCCGUGCCAGCAGCCGCGGUAAUACGGAGGGUGCAAGCGUUAAUCGGAAUUACUGGGCGUAAAGCGCGCGUAGGCGGCUAGAUCAGUCGGGUGUGAAAGCCCCGGGCUUAACCUGGGAACUGCAUCCGAUACUGUCUAGCUUGAGUACAGGAGAGGAGAGUGGAAUUCCACAUGUAGCGGUGAAAUGCGUAGAUAUGUGGAGGAACACCAAUGGCGAAGGCAGCUCUCUGGCCUGAUACUGACGCUGAGGUGCGAAAGCGUGGAGAGCAAACAGGAUUAGAUACCCGGGUAGUC